CCCCAAGUUCUUCAAUGAUAUCAGUGCCAAUCUGAUCUGUUUCGGCAGCAAUCCGGUGUGAGCGCUCAAUGCUCUGACUCGCUCGGUUCAGACUUUCUGUUCCCUGGAGAAGCAGCACCCUCUGUGACUGCAGAUUAGUACUCUGCUCGUUUUCCGUGGAAAAGAUUCCAUAUUUCAUAUCCCCUUGACUUCCAGGGCCCAAUCCCAAAUCUGUGUUUUUCAUCUCCCUCUGGAACAUGGAGAGGUCCCUUCUGUACGCCCGGAUUUUGCUCAUCAUUUGAUUGCGGAAUGGUAGAGGAGCGUAUUUCAGUUCUUCUUCCAUUUCCCGGAGCGUUUCAUUUGCUUCGCGCUGUUUCUCAUCAAACUCCCGAAUGAGCUUUUUCUUCUCCUCCGCCGCGCCGCCCCGCAGCCGCUCCGGCACGCCCCGCAGCUCCCCGUGCAGCCCGCGGAAGAUCUCGUGCAGCCGCUCCAAGUGCUCCGAGGACGCGGGGCCGCGGAUCGCCAUGGCGAGCGACCGCCUCCCGCCGACUCGGGGCUACGCGCCGCUUCCCGGCCGCGCUUCCGCCAUCGGCCGCGGGGACCCGCGCCUGCGCAACGGGGCGGCCCCGCGGUGCC
rnacentral:lncRNA from 1 species